AGAAUUCCUAUGUUGAAACUGAAUCUCCAGUGUGAUAGUACUAAGAGGUGGGGACUUUUGGAAGGUGAUUACGUCAUUAGGGCAGAGAUUAGGACUCUUAUACAAGAGGUCUGAGGGAACUUGUUUGCCCCUUUACGUGACGAUGCAGUAAGAAAAUGUAAUCUUUGAAGCAGAGAGCACCUUGAUCUUGGACUUCCCAGCCUCCAGAAUUAUAAGCAGUAAAUUCCUGUUAAAAAAUUACCCAGUUUAAGGUAUGCUGUUACAACACCCUGAAUGGACUAAGACACAGUCCCAGGCAGGAGCGUUAGUUUCCACUUCUGCAAAAUUGGGGCAGUAUUCCCUAACCUGCAGAAUUUUGAUGAAGAUGAAAUGGAUGAGUAACAGUGGGGAAACUCGUGUCUACUCCCAGCAGCCUUCUAUGGAAGGUGGACUUUUCAGCAGAAGACUCUGCCCAGCUGAGCCCUAUGCUGGAUUUGGGUGGUCAAAUUUGAGAGCAGGAGCUUGGCAAAGAGGGGCUUUGGGGAGGCAGUCAGUUUGGCGGGGGCAUAUUGUAAGACUGUGUGCUUACAAAAGCACAAUAUAUUCCUAAGAUUUCUUUGGGGUGACUUUAUUUGGGACAGUUUUGGGGGAGUUGACGGAGAUGGGGGCACUCUGGCCCCUGAUGCCCUCCCCCAUUCAAACAGACUUGGGGGUUCCUGUGGCAAUGCACAAGAUGGGGGUGCAAAAAGGGGGCAAGAGAAGGAAGGUAGCAUGAUGGACAGAGGCUGGACCAGUAUAGUGACCCCCAGGGAAAGUCCCCUGGGAGGGUGAAGGCAAGUAGGAGGGUACUCUGAGAAUAGAGUCAGGUUCUGAAGCUGUUGCCUUCCUAUGAUGCAAGCCCCAGCUCCUCCUCCAUCCUCAAAUCUUCAGUAAAUGCCCUCUGUUGACAGGACAUUCACUACUGCACAGUGGGCACUCAGCUGCUACUUUGUGUCAUCUCAUGUGUCAUACAUGUCAUGUCAAAGCCAACCUGUGGACACACAGGUCCUCUCGGCUUCCCUUAGGUGGGGGUGGGGAGAAAGCAGGUCAAAAGCCCAGCCUUGGUGGGAAUAUAAACCAGUACAACCGCUAUGGAAAACAGUAUGGAGAUUCCUUAAAGAACUGAAAGUAGAACUACCAUUCGAUCCAGCAAUCCUAUUACUGGGUAUCUCCCCAAAGGAAAAGAAGUCAUUGUAUGAAAAAGAUACAUGCACACACAUGUUUAUAGCAGCACAGUUGGCAAUUGCAAAAAUAUGGAAACAAUGUAAAUGCCCAUUAACCAAUGGGUGGAUAAAGAAAAUGUGGUAUAUAUACACAAUAGAAUACUACUCAGCCAUAAAACGGGACAAAAUAAUGGCCUUUGCAGCAACUUGGAUGGGGCUGGAGGCCAUUAUUCUGAGUGAGGUAACUCAGGAAUGGAAAACCAAAUAUCAUAUAUUCUCUUGGGUUUUUUUUUGUUCUUUUGUUUUUGUUUUUGUUUUUUGAGAUGGAGUCUCGCUCUGUCGCCCAGGCUGGAGUGCAGUGGCAUGGGAACUCGGCUCACUGCAACCUCUGCCUACCAGGUUCAAGCAAUUCUCCUGCCUUAGCCUCCCAAGUAGCUGGGACUACAGGUGCGCACACCACCAUGCCUGGCUAAUUUUUGUAUUUUUAGUAGAGAUGGGGUUUCACCAUGCUGGCCCGGCUGGUCUUGAACUCCUGACUUCGUGAUGUUCUCUCUUUUAAGUGGGAGCUAAGCUAUGAGGAUGCAAAGGUGAAGAAUAAUAUAAUGGACUUUGGGGACUCACAGGGGAGGGUGGGAGAGGUUGAGGGAUUAGAGGCUAUAUAUUGGGUACAGUGUACGCUGCUCAGUUGACAGGUGUACCAAAAUCUCAGAACUCACCACUAAAGAACUUAUCCAUGUAACCAAAAACCACCUGUACCCCAAAACCUAUUGAAAUAAAAAAGCCCAGCCUUGGUCCUACCCAGCACAGAGAGACAUGAAGCUAUGACUUGGAUUUACUCUUCCAAAAGCCUCCAAUAGCCAGCCCUGAUCUGCUGACACAGUUCCCCUUCUGAGCAGAGAAAUGGAGGAGAAGGCAGCAGAAAGAUGAGAAAGAAUCUCCCGUGAGAUCAGGGGCUAGCUCAUUAAUCUAGGUGAGUAUGCCAUUUUGGAGAUUAGACAAACUGAGCCCUGGAGAGGUCAAAUGACUCAGUAAUGCAGCCAGACUAUGGCACAGGCAGGGUGAUGAGCCACAUCUGCCUUCCUGUAGCCACCAGACAAGGGAAGCAGGGGCACAGAACAGUCACAUAGCAAUUCAGUAGCAGAGCCAGGAUCCAGUGACCCCAAACCCUGGUCUCUCCCGACUGCUAGCCUGGGAAUGUUGCCCAGCUCUUUCACCCACUUUUGGCCUUGCCUCUUCACUGCACCUGAGGAUCCAGUGACCCCAAGCCCUGGUUUCCUGGCUGCCAGCCUGGGAACAUUGCCCAGCUCUUUCACGCACUUUUGGCAUUGGCUCCUCACCACACCUGUGCCAGUGGCUGGCUGGGUUACUCGGAGUCGUUUGACUCCUCCAGGGCUCAGUUUGUCUAAUCUCCAAAAUGGCAUGUUCACCUAGAUUGAAUAGCUAGCUUCUAAUCUCAGGGAAGUGUCUAUCUUUUCUUUCUGGGGGGAUUCUGGGUGUCAGAUAGGGAGAGGCAGCAUGAUCUCAGAAAUAGCCCCAGACACUAGAGGCGGAGCUGGUCCCCCCUGCAUCCUGGCCGGAAGCAGCAUUUGAAAGCUGAUCUUGAGCGAGACAGUAUGAGGACAGCCAUUGUCAUUGUUGCACACAUGAUCUUACUCAACCCUCAGGUGGCCCUGUCGAGUGGGUUCCUUCGUUUUCUAGUUUUUCCAUUGAGAAAACACAAGUAGGAUUCAGUCUGAAGACUGGUAGUUCAGUGCUCCCAACAAGGGGCAGGAGGGGCCUGGCUGAGCACCCUGAAGGUGGAGUUGGGGCAGGUGCCAGAACACGGAUGCUUUCCUGUCUGGCUGGAGCUGCUCCCGCUGUGUUCUGGAGCAGGGCAGAACAGGAAGGCAGGAACAAUGGGCAGCCGGCAGUGGCGGGGUGCUGGGGUUCCUGAGCCAGGGGUGGGGAGGCUCAGGCCUGGUCACCACCAAGGCUGGGGGUGCAAGUUUCCUGUGCAAGAGACUAACAAGAUUAGCCACUAACAUUUUUGAGCACUUACUGUGUGUCCGGACCCGUGUUAGACACUUUAGAUGGAUUAGCCUCAUUUUACAGAUAAACAAAUUGGGGCACAGAGAGUUUAAAUGAAAUGCUCAAGGUAAGUAAGAGGUGAAAGAUUUGAACCCAGGCAGACUGGCUUCACAUCCUAUGCUCUUAACUACUAUAACUUUAUAUGUGUAUACAUACAUAUAUGAUUAUAUGCAUGUUAUACAUACUUUCUCAUAAUUUUCCCCUUUCACUUAAUUUAUCAUUGCCAGUUUUCUGUGUCAUCAAUAUCAUCCUUGUUUACAGUGCUAACGUGCCGGGAAGACCUUGUCCAUGUGUCCUGGCCACAUCCCAGUCUGUUCUUCCCAUUACCUGAGGGGUCUGGAUUUCCACUGUUGGUGCUGUCAUUGAGUUAAGGUGUGGUGCCUCUCGUUUAAACUGCUGAUAACAGUGGUGGCACCAAGGUGUGGGCUGGGGGGUGCUUAAGCCCCUUUUAAUCUCUAUCAUAAUAACUCCCUUAUCCAAAUAAACACCAUCGACAUAAAAUAAUGUGCUUUUAUGCAAACAGUACUUCAAGACAGGCCUCCCUCGCCAGCUCAAUCAUUGCUGCACCCAAGCAUUCCCACGGAGAAGUCCCCUAGGUAGCCUGGCUGGUGGGUUAAUGUCAGAGGGGUGCUAGCUCUGAACGCAGCUGUGGGAGCACUGCUGGUAUCUUAGGAUCCGGUGGGGUGGAGAUUUGGAGCCCAGGAAGACCCAGCCUGACCUGGUGGUGGUGGCUUCAGAAAGAGCUGGAGAGGGUAGAGGCCCUUGCCUAGGGCUCUUACUGCAUUUUAUGUAAGAUGAAGGCCACAGAUUGGUGCUGUCAAGACUGGGAAGGCCUGUGGGACUCAGGACUCCAGGGUAAGACUGACCUGCCCCUCCUUUCACCUGAGACAGACUGGGAGAUCCCAGGGCACUGGGGGCAGGGGAGCGGAAGGGGCUUGUUGAAAAUAUCCACCAUGGCAGCUAGGAGAGCCUGCUGGAGCCGCUCCUCCAGGGGUGAUGAACAAGCUGGAGGACCCCUCCUGGAACUCCCUUUUUGCCCUCACAAGGCCAGCUGGGAGCACUGGAUAGGGAACGAGACACCUGAGUUUUGUGUUCUAGUUUCAUCGCUGCCUGUGGGUGGCUGUGUGGCCCUGGGCAAGUCACUCUCCCUUGGUAGCCUCUGGCUUCCCACCCCUACCAUACCAGGGAACACUAUGGACACUCCCGUUCUGCCAGAUGGUCUAACAAAGAUGCUUUCCCUCUUGGGUCACCUGGGCUGGCAGGUGGGUGAUUCAGACGUCACCUUUCUGAACCUCCAACUAUUAUUACAUAUUAAUAUACAUUUACAUAAUUACCUUCCAGGUAUGGCCUUUGGGGGUCACCUGUUAUCUACUUCCCCUUAUGGUAGCUGUCCUCUAUUUUCAUCUGGGGAAGCCUCCUCUUCUCCACCUCAGCCAUGUGCAGUGGAUGGAGUUGACUCUUCUUCUGGCUCCAAAAGGGGAAGAGAGGCUUGCGGAUCUGUGCAUUCCAUUUCCCAAACCUCAGAGGAAUGGGGGUUGGGUGGGGCAUGUGACCCAGUUCCAGCCCAUGGCAUCAGGCUUAGAACUGGUCCUGAUUAUGGAGAAGUCUGGAAGCUUCAAACCUGAGGGGAUUUGAGGUUGGAGUUAACUGGCAGCCAUCCUGCCCCCAUGGAGAAUGGAGCCAUUGCAGAAAAGGCGGAGCUGGGGAUGGAGAGAGAGACCAGGGCCUCGUGAUGCAGCUUAACCCCUCAAGUCCAGCUGUGCGUGAAGCCAACUGCUCACCCUUAGGCUUUUCAGGUUAUAAAAGGCACUGCAGCUUCCAUGUUGGUCUUUUGGAUCACUGGAUCUGGGGGAAACCAACCACCGUGUUGUGAGGACACUCAAGCAGUUCUGUGGAGGCUCACGUGGAGAGGAAAGAACCAGGGGACCAGCUACCUUGCAAAUCAACCCUAACAACUUGGUUGAUGACACAAAGACCACAAAGGAAAGAGUACAUGAAGCAGGGCCCUUUGAACCUAUGGAGCACAGUCUGGCACUAUGUACCAAUGACACUCGUUUUAAUUAACAAACCAAUAUUGAUACAUUAUUAUUAACUAUAGUCUAUAUUAAGGUUCUCUUUUUUUGUAUUGUACAGAUCUGUGGGGUUUUGACAAAUGCAUAAUAUUGUGUAUCCACCAUCACACUGUCAUACAGAAUAGUUUUUACUGCCCUGAAAAGCCUCUGUGCUCUACCUAUUUAACCCUCUGCCCUCACACCAAACCCCUGGCAACCACUGACUGACCUUUUUACGUUGCCUAUAGUUCUGCUUUUUGCAGAAUGUCAUAGUAGAAAUCAUACACUAUGUAGACUUUUCCGACUGGCUUCUUUCAUGUAACAAUAUGCAUUUGUUUCUUCCAUGUCUUUUCUUAGCUUGGUAGCUCAUUUCUUUCUGUUGCUGAAUAAUAUUCCAUUGAAUGGAUGCGCCAGACUUUGUUUAUUCAUUCACCUAUUAAAGGACAUCUUGGUGGCUUCCAGUUUCUGGCAAUUGUGAAUAAAGCUACUAUAAAUAUUUAUGUGCAGGUUUUUGUGUGGACAUAAGUUUACAACUCAAUUGGGUAAAUAUCUAGGAGUGCAAUUACUGGAUCUUAUGGUGCAAAUAUGAUUAGUUUUAUAAGGAACUGCUGAACUCUUCCAAAGUGGCUGUAGCGUUUUGCAUUCUCACCAGCAAUGAAAGGGCAUUCUGUUGCCAGCAUUUGGUAUUGUCAGUUUUGUGGAUUUUAGUCACUCUAAAAGAUAUGUAGUGAAAUCUCAUUUUAAUUUGCAAUCUCCUAAUGACAUAUGAUGUGGAUCUUCAUUUCUAUGCUUAUUUGUCACCUGCAUAUUUUCUUUAGUGAGGUGUAAUUUUCAGACCUUUUGCCCAUGUAAAAAAUUAGGUUCUUUUCUUAUUGUUGAGUUUUAAGUGUUUAUAAUUUUGAAUACCAGUCCUUUAUCAGUUAAUGUGUUUUGCAAAUAACUUCUAAUCUUUGGCUUACCUUUUCAUUCUCUUAACAUUCUUUCACAGAGCAGAAGUUUUUAAUUUUAAUAAAGUUCAGUUUAAGAAUUUUUUGUUCCAUGGGUUGUGCUUUUGGUGUUGAAUUUAAAAACUCAUCGCCAAACCACAAACCACAUAGAUUGGUUCCUAUAUUAGCUUCUGUAAGUUUUGUAGUUUUAUGUUUCACAUUUAAGUCUAAGAUCCAUUUUGAUCUAACUUUUAUAAAAGGUGGAAGGACUGUCUGGAUUUUCCCAUUUGUUAAAAAGAUUAUCCUCUUCCCUCUUCCUGCACUGAAUUGCCUUUGCUUCUUUGACAAAUAUAAUUUGACUAUAUUUAUGUGGGUGUGUUUCUGGGCUCUCUAUUCUGUGCUGUUGAUCAGUUUGUCUGUUUUUUCACCAAUACCACACAGUCUUGCCUAAUGUAGAUUUAUAGUAAGUCAUAAAGUCAGGUAGUGUUAAUCCUCUGACUGUUCCUUUUCAGGAUUGUGUUGGUCAUUCUAGGUCAUUUGACUUCCCAUAUUAACUUUAGAAUCUGUCAAUAUUCACAAAAUAACUUAUUCGAAUUUUAUUGGAAUUGUGUUGAAUCUAUAGAUAGGGUUGGGGAGAAUUCUCGUCUUAAAAUUAUUGAGUUUUGCUAUUCAUGUACAUGGAAUAUCUCUCCAUUUAUUUAUAUUUUCUUUGAUUUUUGUCAUCAGAGUUUUCUGUGUUUCCUUAUAUUGAUCCUGUACAUAUUUUGUUGGAUUUAUGCCUAGGUAUUUCAUUAUUUUUGGUGGUAAUGUAAAUGGCAUUAUGUUUCUAAUUUCAACUUCCAACUGUUCAUUGAUGGCAUAAAGGAAAGCACUAAACUUUUAAAUAUUAACUUUAUAUUCUGUGAACUUCCUAUAAUCACUUAUUAGUUCCAGGAGUCUUUUGUUGUUGAAUCUUUGGGAUUUUCUAUGUAGACAGUCAUGCCAUCCUGUACACAGAAAUAAAGACAGUUUUAUGUCUUCUUUCCCAGUUGGCAUGCCUUUUAUUCUCUUUUCUUGUCUUAUUGCACUAGCAAGAAAUUCUAGUGCAAUAUUAAAUAGGAGUGGUGAAAGGGGACAUCUUUGCCUUGUUCCUAAUAUUAGGGGGGAAAACAUCCAGUUUCUCAUCAUUAAGUAUGAUGUUAGUUGUAGAAUUAUUGUAACUCCCGUUUGUUAAUUUGAGAAUGUUUCCUAUUAUUCCUAGGUCGCUGCGAGUUUUUAUUAUGAAAGGGUGUUGGAUUUUGGCAAUGCCUUUUUUGCAUCCAUUGAUAUGAUCGAUCACAUGAUUUUCUUCUUAAACUUAUUGAUUUGAUGAAUUACAUUAAUUGAUUUUUGAAUGUUGAACCAGUUGUUCAUGCCUGGAAUAAAUCCUGCUUGGUCAAAUCAUGGUGUAUAAUGAUUUUUAUACAUUGUUGGAUUUGAUUUGCUAAUUUUUUUAAAAAAAAUUUGGGGUACAUAGUAGGUAUAUAUAUUUAUGGGGUACAUGUGAUAUUUUGAUUCAGGCAUUCAAUGUGUAAUAAUCACAUCAGUGUAAGUGGGGUAUCCAUCACCUCAAGCAUUUAUCCUUUCUUUGUGUUACAAACAAUCCAAUUAUACUCUUUUAGUUAUUUUAAAAUGUGCAAUAAAUUUUGUUGACUGUAGUCACCCUGUUGUGCUAUCAAAUACUAGAUCUUAUUCAUUCUGUCUAACUAUAUUUUUAUACCCAUUUACCAUCCCCAUUUCCCUCCCUACUCCCCCAGCUACCCUUCCCAGCUUCUGGUAACCACCAUUCUACCUUUAUCUCCAUGAGUUCAAUUUAAAAAAACUUUUAGCUCCCCCAAAUAAGU